GGCACGGUGGCUUAGUGGUUAGAACGUUUGCCUCGCACCUCCAGGGCUUGGGGUUCAAUUUCCGCCCCUGCCC